GAUGAAGAACGCAGCGAAAUGCGAUAAGUAGUGUGAAUUGCAGAAUUCAGUGAAUCAUCGAAUCUUUGAACGCACAUUGCGCCCGCGAGUAUUCUCGCGGGCAUGCCUGUCCGAGCGUCAUUUCAACCCUCAGGGCCCGCCUGCUUCGGCAGGCGCGGCGCUGGUGUUGGGGAUCGGCCUAACCGCCGUCCCCCAAAUACAGUGGCGGUCUCGCUGCAGCCUCCCCUGCGUAGUAGCAACACUCGCAUGCGGAGCGCGGCGCGGCCACGCCGUAAAACCCCCGACUUUCUGAACGUUGACCUCGGAUCAGGUAGGAAUACCCGCUGAACUUAAGCAUAUCAAUAAGCGGAGGA
rnacentral:misc_RNA from 1 species